rnacentral:lncRNA from 1 species
UAUUAAAAGUAUGUGAGAUGUAUGCCUUUCUGAAAUAGUUUAUUGAAUGCCCAAAGUGCCAUAAUGUCUUAUUAUUUUAAAAGAUAAAAAUACUUCAUAAGUUUUUCAAAUUGAUGACCCAUCAGGCUAAUAUAUGAUUUUAAAUAUAUGUUGUUUUAUUUCUUUUUGACCUAGCAUCCAACUGGUCCAUCACAGUGCUAUUCAGAAAUCUACCAAGGAGCUUCGAGACAUGUCCAAGAAUAGAGAGAUAGCAUGGCCCCUGUCAACGCUUCCUGUGUUCCACCCUGUGACUGGGGAAAUCAUACCUCCUUUACACACAGACAACUAUGAUAGCACAAACAUGCCAUUGAUGCAAACGCAGCAGAACUUGCCACAUCAGACUCAGAUUCCCCAACAGCAGACUACAGGUAAAUGGUAUCCCUGAAGAAAGAAAACUGACUGAAGCAAUGAAUU